rnacentral:rRNA from 1 species
GAUGAACGCUGGUGGCGUGCCUAAUACAUGCAAGUCGAGCGGACAGACGAGGAUCUUGCCUCUCUGACGUUAGCGACGGACGGGUGAUUCACACGUGGAUAACCUACCUAUAAGACUGGGAUACCUUAGGGAGACCUGAGCUAAUACCGGUCCAUAUAUUGAACCGCAUGGUUCAUUAGUGAAAGAGGUUUUUGCUGUCCCUUAUAGAGGUUUCCGCGCUGCAUUGGUUAGUUGGUACGGAAACGGCCUACCAAGGCGACGAUGCGUAGCCGACCUGAGAGGGUGAUCGGCCACACUGGAACUGAGAAACGGUCCAGACUCCUACGGGAGGCAGCAGUAGGGAAUCUUCCGCAAUGGGCGAAAGCCUGACGGAGCAACGCCGCGUGAGUGAUGAAGGUCUUCGGAUCGUAAAACUCUGUUAUUAGGGAAGAACAAAUGUGUAAGUAACUAUGCACGUCUUGACGGUACCUAAUCAGAAAGCCACGGCUAACUACGUG